UUCAGGCAAAGCAGAGACAUUCCAGGAAAUUUAACUGAAAAGAAGAGCAAGGUGACUAGGAAAAUGACCUUGAAAUGAAGACACCAUAUGGGCUUCUGGACGGAUGGUAGUGUGUGAGAUUUCUCUUCCUGGAGAUUCUCUACUUGGACACCCCCUUCAGCCUAAAGAUCCCGGAAACAUCAUGAGGAGCUCUCGUAGGAACUGUUGGAUAGAAGCAACUCUGUUGCCACACUGAAGACCAGAUUCUGGAGAUCCAGCAUGGGAAUCCAAGCCUGAGACGUGCUGCAGAAGAUAAGUACAGACUCCUCAAAGGUGUAACAAAGGCCGAGGACUUGGAAGUCAAGAGACCUGUGUGCAAAUCUGCCUUUCAUUAUAACUGUUUGAUCCCACUUAAAUCACUUAACUGCUUUGAACUUCAAUUCCUCUUUCUGUAAAACAGGAAUACAAUUACAGUACCUACUUCACAGUUGUAAUUAAUGAACAAACAAAUGCGCAAAGGAUCCAAUAUACAGUAG
rnacentral:lncRNA from 1 species